UCGACUUCGGGAGGGGUGUAUUUAUUAGAUAAAAAACCAAUGCCCUUCGGGGCUCCUUGGUGAUUCAUAAUAACCUAACGAAUCGCAUGGCCUUGUGCCGGCGAUGGUUCAUUCAAAUUUCUGCCCUAUCAACUUUCGAUGGUAGGAUAGUGGCCUACCAUGGUGUCUACGGGUAACGGGGAAUUAGGGUUCUAUUCCGGAGAGGGAGCCUGAGAAACGGCUACCACAUCCAAGGAAGGCAGCAGGCGCGCAAAUUACCCAAUCCCAAUACGGGGAGGUAGUGACAAUAAAUACUGAUACAGGGCUCUUUCGGGUCUUGUAAUUGGAAUGAGUACAAUUUAAAUCCCUUAACGAGGAACAAUUGGAGGGCAAGUCUGGUGAACUAUUGCAGGUUCUUGACAGUGCUGCUGACGCCAGAAAAAGUAGAGAGUCCUUUAUCACAGGUCUCAUCUGCUAUGUGGGUUCGUUUCCUCUCACCGAGAGCGUGCUCGCGAGACAGCCUUGUUCGGGGAAAGCCUGGUGUGUCAACACCGCGUGAACCCCGAGCGGAGUGACAAGAGAGUGAUCUCUAAUUCUCAUCCGUGUAGAGCGCGGAAAGGUGUCGGCCCCUACGAACGUGACGGGGGCUUGAGGGACGUGCCAUAAUACUACUACUGUCUGCGGGAAAUCGGAUAUUGAAUUUACACGUCAGAGGUGAUCGACCGGUGUGCUAGAACGGAACCCUGACUGCUCGGGCAGGCGGGUGCGUUGGGGCUUGUCGAGCUCCCUUCUCGAUCAGCACAUCGCUCAGGGCGACUUCAACGGUUGAGUGGCCCUGGACGAUGGAAUCCGGUAUCCUAUUUUGCCGCAUUAAUUUACUGCGUAUUGAAACGGCCAGCAGCCGCGGUAAUUCCAGCUCCAAUAGCGUAUAUUAAAGUUGUUGCAGUUAAAAAGCUCGUAGUUGAACUUUGGGUCUGGCUGAUCUGUCCUCCUAAUCGAGCGCACGGAUUCGGUCGGACCUUUCCUUCUGGGGAGCCCUAUGCCCUUUACUGGGCGUAGCGGGGAACCAGGACUUUUACCUUGAAAAAAUUAGAGUGUUCAAAGCAGGCCUUUGCUCGAAUACAUUAGCAUGGAAUAAUAGAAUAGGACAUCGGUUCUAUUUUGUUGGUUUCUAGGACCGCUGUAAUGAUUAAUAGGGAUAGUCGGGGGCGUCAGUAUUCAAUUGUCAGAGGUGAAAUUCUUGGAUUUAUUGAAGACUAACUACUGCGAAAGCAUUCGCCAAGGAUGUUUUCAUUAAUCAGUGAACGAAAGUUAGGGGAUCGAAGACGAUCAGAUACCGUCGUA
rnacentral:rRNA from 1 species